UGCGUAGGCGGUGUUAUUAGUCGGGUGUAAAAUCCUGGGGCUCAACCCCAGACUCGCAUUCGAAACGGUAACACUAGAAGAAGUAAGAGGUGAGCAGAACUCUCGGUGUAGGGGUGAAAUCCGUUGAUAUCGAGGGGAAUACCAAAUGCGAAGGCAGCUCACUGGUACUUUCUUGACGCUGAGGCACGAAAGCAUGGGUAGCGAACAGGAUUAGAUACCCUGGUAGUCC
rnacentral:rRNA from 1 species